CAGAAUAUCGACGACUUUGGUGAACAAAAUGAGCAAACGAGUGACGAAGAUAGUGUUGAACCGUACAGUGAAAAGGAAAGUAAUAAUCAAAGUAAUAGUAUACAACAUAAUUUGGCUUUAGAUUCAAAUCAGUAACUGGGAAUUUAAAUAACAUUCCAUAAAACCAGAUAACAAUUUUGUAGGUAUAAAUCCUGAUAUCAUUGAUUCCAUGAGUUUAUUGAAAGAAAUCGAUAUGUUCAAUAAAAAUUAGAUAAUAUUACAUCUAGAUUUUCUCGAAUUUCGAAGUGGUAUAAUAUCGAUCAAACAGAAAUGAGAAAUUUUCUUGGACUUAUAUUAUGGAUUGCGCUAAAUAGUUUACCAUCAUUAGCACAUUAUUGGAGGUGCCAAAAUAAAGUUUAUGCUGGUAAUGAAAUGGUUGCAGACACUGCUGUAUCUAAUUAAUUUGUGUUAGACCUUAUGGAGCCCUAUUUAAAUGUUGGGCAAAUUCUUUUUGUAGAUAAUUGGUAUACAAGUGUCUCCUUAGCUCACGAAUUAAAUGAAAAACAAAUAUAUAUUGUUGGCACUCUACGUGCAAAUAGAAAAGGCAAUCCUAAAGAUGUCAAUAACAAAAAGCUUAAAAAAGGCCAAAUUAUUGCAAAACAGAGUAAUACUAAUAUUUUUUUACUCAAAUGGAAAAAUAAGAGGGAUCUCUUAAUGCUAAGUACAAAAAAUGGUGAUACAUCCACAGCAAUCACUAAGAGAAAUAAAACCAAUACCAAACAUGAUAUGGUUAUUGAAUAUAAUCAGGGAAAGAGUUUUACCGACCGAAGUGACCAAAUUACUUCACAUUUUUCACCUUUUAGAAGAAGUUUAAAAUGAUGCCGAAAAGUCGUUUUUGAUAUUUUGCUAGGCACUUGUGUUACCAAUGCCUUAUCAUAUUUUCAAAAGUCAGCGACAACAAAAUGAAAAUUACAGAAUUCAAGAAACUAAUUAGAAUUAAUUUAAUCAACAAAUCCGAAUCUCUAAUAUCGCAAAUUUCUGACAAUCAUAUUUUCAAAAAGAUAGUUCUUCUCCUAAAAAUUGUGCUGGAUGUUACAAAAAAGUCGAAUUAGAGUUUGGCAGGAAACAAGUACAAUACCAAUGUGUAAUGCCUGUAGAGUUCCUACGUGCUUGUGUUUUAUCGAUAAUUAUUUGGUAAGAUUUAGAACAAAGUAGUAGAUAUAUAUUUUAAUAAUUUUAUCUUCGAUGCGUAGCUGAGAAGGUAUUAAUUUUACCAUGAUGUGUUUAUUUAUUUAUUUUUUUUUGUGUCUGUCACUACUUUUUCUCAGCUCUCACUGUACCGAUUCCUUUUAACAAUACGUCAAAAGAUCACAAAUCAUAUCUAGUUGAAGACGUUACCCUUAAAAAUUGAAAAAUUUUCCCUCGUUCCCCGCAAAUGGGGGAAAUCUCCAAAAAAAUUACAAAUUUAAAAAUCGGUAAAUUUUGUCAUUUUUUUCACUUUUUUUCUUAAAACUUCCAUAACUUUUUCAAAAAUAAACAAAUCAACAUAUUUUUUUUUUAUACUAAAACCUUAGAUAUUUUCCUUUCAUUUGAUAUCAUUUUUUUUAAAAAUUAACUCUUAUCCUGCUCACUGGGGGGGAUUUAAAAUAGCAACUUUUUUACAAACACUAACUUUUUCAACUUAAUUUUUGAAAAUGAUCCGGAUAUACUGCGUCCUUUCAACAUAUAUAAAAUUAAAGCUUAUUUUAUGUGCUAUAAAAUGAAAAAAAAAGUUUGUCCCGACACUUUAUCUUCUGCAUGUAAACGACUGCCGUAGUUAAAAAAACACUAUUUUUGUGUUAAAAUUUUCGAUUUUUGAUUUUAAAUUUUCAACUUAAAAAUGCUAUAACUUUUCAAAAAAUGUAUGUAUCAGCACAAAUUUUUUUUUUUUAAGUAUAUUAUAAGUACAUCUUUUAUUUGACAUACUUUUUAUUAAAAUUAGACAAUUUCCCCUUAUAUAAGGGGCGUUCAAAACUUGAAACAUUGUAUAAAAAAUAGAACUUUUUCAACUGAACUUUUGAAAAUAUUCCGGAAAUACUGCGUCCUUUAAACAUAUAUCAAAUUAAAGCUUAUUUUAUGUACUAUAAAAUUAAAAAAAAAAAUUUGUCCCGACGACCUAUUUUCUAUGCGCAAAUGGCUACCGUAUUCAAAAAUAUGCUAUUUUUCUAUUAAAAUUCUAGGUUUUGUAUUUUAUUUUAUUUUAAAAUAUCUUAUUAGGAGAAUAUAUUGACUUUCAUGAAUAUUAUAUAAUUUAAUUGACAUAGAAUAAAGUUCAUAAGAUAAGUUAUUAAACUUAUUAAACUUUUUUACUUUUUUAAAGUCGAAAGAGUAAUUUUUAAAUUUGAGUUAGCUUAAAUAGCCAAUUUUAUUAAGCGAUGAAGGCAACGAACAGUUGCCGAAUCGGUAACACUUGUGUCUUUCACGCGUAGGGUACGAGGUUCAAAUUCGACUGUGGCAAUUAAUAUUUUGCAUUUUUUUUUGAGUUAGAAUAAAAUUUUCAAAUCAUUUGAUAUUUAUCUCAUUUAGAUUCAAUAACUUCAAUGAAUAUAAAGGAACUUAUCACUAUAGUCUCCCCUCGUGAGAAGAAAUUUUUAUUCAUGUUAAUAUUAUUUUACUAUGUGGUUUUUUUUGUGGCUACGAUUUAUUUUGCCAACCCUCACUAGACCUACUAUUUCAACGAUACGUCAAAUGAUUAUAAUUCGUAAUUAGUUUAAGUUAUUACUCUUAAAGAUCGAAAAAAUAUUCCUUUUUCAAAUUAAAAGUAGCUUAA